rnacentral:rRNA from 1 species
GACAGAGGAUGCAAGCGUUAUCCGGAAUGAUUGGGCGUAAAGCGUCUGUAGGUGGCUUUUUAAGUCUGCCGUCAAAUCCCAGGGCUCAACCCUUGGAUGCCGGUGGAUACUGCAGGGCUAGAGUCCGGAAGAGGCGAGUGGAAUUCCUGGUGUAGCGGUGAAAUGCGCAGAUAUCAGGAGGAACACCGAUGGCGAAGGCAGCUCGCUGGGACGGUACUGACGCUGAGGCGCGAAAGCGUGGGGAGCAAACAGG